rnacentral:lncRNA from 1 species
AAGCACUUCCUGUGUUGACUGAUUUGGCCUGGUGACAGUGGUGUGGGGCAGGUGCUGUGCAGCUGAGAAAAUAGGAGGUUAAGCACUUCCCCAAACUCACCAAGACAGCCUGUUCUCCACACCCCACACCAUCUAGCACCAGACUUCCCAGGGCAGGCAUGAAACAUGUGGGGACCUGCUCAGUGCACCCCAGACCUGCAGAGCCUGAACCUCUGAGCCAGCCCAGCCUGAGUUUUACUAAAGCCACUCAGACUAGAGUUUGAGAAUCCCUGGCAAAAAGGAAGGUGAAGGCUCCAGAUGUGGCGGCCAAGCUGAAGAGACCAUCAGAGAGGCUGAAGGAGAAGCAGGAUGAACAGCAGAAUUACCAGGUUCUGACUCUGACGGUGGCCAGUCUGUGUCUCUUCUUCAUGGUGCUUGCCACACAACCCUCCUGACUGGCAGCAUGAGACCCACGUGGAACACAGCAGAGUGCGGAGUUACGCUGUUCACAGCACGGGUACCAUGCAGACCCUGUGUGCAAGGCUAGUUCCCAGCCAGGCGCUGCUGGGAGGUGGUGGCACCUUUGAGGGUGAGGCCGAGCAGGACAUUAGGUCAUGAAGGACACAUCCUUGAAGGGAGCUCUCAGACCACAGUCUCCUCAUCCUCUUUUUCACAUCCGGCCCUGAGGUGAGAGGCUUUGGUGGACCACACACUCCCACUUCGGUGCGCUGCCUCAGCCUAGGAAACUGCAGGGCAGACAACCACACCUGAAUCUCCAACAUGUGAGUCAGAAGAAACUACUUCUGCAGGGGAAGGGGGAGUUGGGGUGCAGGGCAAAGGAGAGAAGGGGAUGGAAUUCAUAUGAGAAAAUGGAACAGUGGAAACAAAGUCUGUAAACAGGGAGGGGUGGAGGGGUGGAGGGAGGGCAGGGGAAGGGAAAAUAAGAACCGAGAGAGUAUGUAAAGGUGCAGAUCUCCAAUGAUGAGUGUCAUUAUACUGUACACCUAAAAUGUACCAAUAAAAUUAAUUUAAAAA